rnacentral:rRNA from 1 species
GACGGAGGAUGCAAGCGUUAUCCGGAAUGAUUGGGCGUAAAGCGUCCGCAGGUGGCAGUUCAAGUCUGCUGUGAAAGACCGGGGCUUAACUUCGGAAAGGCAGUGGAAACUGAACAGCUAGAGUAUGGUAGGGGCAGAGGGAAUUCCUGGUGUAGCGGUGAAAUGCGUAGAUAUCAGGAAGAACAUCGGUGGCGAAGGCGGUCUGCUGGACCAGAACUGACACUCAGGGACGAAAGCCAGGGGAGCGAAUGGG